rnacentral:rRNA from 1 species
UACGUAGGGUGCGAGCGUUAAUCGGAAUUACUGGGCGUAAAGCGUGCGCAGGCGGUUUUGUAAGCCAGAUGUGAAAGCCCCGGGCUUAACCUGGGAAUGGCAUUUGGGACUGCAAGGCUUGAGUGCGGCAGAGGAGACUGGAAUUCCUGGUGUAGCAGUGAAAUGCGUAGAUAUCAGGAGGAAUACCGAUGCGAAGGCAGGUCUCUGGGCUGACACUGACGCUCAUGCACGAAAGCGUGGGGAGCGAACAGG